CCUCUAGAAUUCAUGGUCGGCAAUAUGCCCCAAAAAAUGUAAUACUUGUAAAAACGAUUUGCAAUGCUUGUAAAAAGUUCAUCUGUUUGAGUUGUUUCUCAAAACAUAUCCAAGCUUUGGAGAAAAAGAAAUGAAUGCAACUCUGCAAAGUAGAAAUAUUUAGUAGAUAGGCAAUAUUAUAGUGGAAGUACAUUUUGAAUUAUUAUUAUUAUUAUGAUACAUUACUGCAUAUUUUUACAAUAUAAAUGAAAUAUCUUUACUGUUAUAAUUUCAAGGUUGUAACUGUCGUAGAGAACUGUUGUAACAGUAAAUGUUACGAGAAAGUACCAUUUGAAAACUAAGUCGAAGCAUUUGAUGCUUUUUAUUCCGGUCAAUCAAAAAGCCUUCAAGAUGCCUAUUUGGCUCGUUCUAUUGAAAAGUGUUAUGGUCCUAAAAAAAGAACUGUUGAAAACGUAAAAAAACCAAGAGAACAUUCGUGGAAUUAUUCAAUUUUUGUUGGGGCACUUAACCUCCUGAGACCUGAAGCUCCAUAUGAUUCUGUUCGAUUAGAGACCGAAGUGACUAAUACUAGUACAUUGGGAAGGUCAGGCUUGAGACCUGACCUUUUUCGUUAUCAAACUAGAAGUAUGACCGAAGUGCCUAGUAUUAGUCAGUCAACUUCAAAAUUCAGUAUCACACUUAAUGUUUGCAAAAGCAAGCACUAGGUAGCACCACUGCAUAGCUGGCCAUCUACUUUACCGUUCUAGUUUGCUCCAUCGCCACUAGAGCACUUUCAAUAGGAGACACAGCCACGUUGACAUCAUGGCGUCAGGUGACAGGGAAGCUUCUUCGCCAAUAUUGAAUUGCAUUUAAGAAGCAAAAAAGGAAGAGCACGAGCAGUACAGAAGAGCAGCCUGGUAUGUCAAAGAACAAAAAGUUGAAAAAGGAAAAACCGGUAAAUUCUCAAUGGACAUGAGGUAAAUUUUCUCCUGAAACUAUCAGCCUACACCAACCUGCUUACAUUGUACAGAACUGUAAUGAUUGGGAUUAUGACAAAUAUGUCUCUCAAUAUUUUGAUGAUGAGUUUUUAUAGACUAUUGUGGAAAAAAGUAACCAAAGUUUCUUACAACGAAAAGGAACACUUUUGAAUUUAACCUUAAGAGAAUUCAAAACUUGGCUAGGAAUUAAUUUUGUUAUGGCGACAAUACAGAUGCCAAAAAUCAGAAUGUUUUGGGAAAAGCAAUGGCGAGUUUCUGUUAUAGCAGAUGCAAUGGUGAGAGAUAGAUUUUUUCAACUAAGAAGCAACAUUAAAAUCGUAUAUGAUGAUGAUAUUUCUAAAGAACAAAGAACAAAUGAUAGGCUGUGGAAGUUGAGACCUCUUAUUGAUAGAGUUUUGCAAGGUUGUCAGAAACAAAAUAAAAAUCAGGAACUUUGCGUUGAUGAAAUGAUGGUUCCAUUUACUGGUACAUGCAAUCUCAAACAAUACAUUCCAAAUAAGCCGAAUCCUCUCGGAAUUAAGAUUUUCGUGCUAGCAAACCCAAAUGGAAUCAUAUGUGAUUUCAUAGUUUAUCAAGGAGGAAAUACUUUCCAUAAAGAUCUCACCAAAGAUUUCUGGCAAUGUGAAUGUGCU
rnacentral:misc_RNA from 1 species